rnacentral:pre_miRNA from 1 species
CACCUACUUCCUCCGUUUCGAAUUACUUGUCGCAGGUAUGAAUGUAUCUAGAUGUAUUUUAGUUCUACAUACAUCCAUUUCUGCGACAGUAAUUUGGAACGGAUGGAGUACUAU